ACAUCGCCUAGUCAAGCCAACCGGCUCGCUCUUGUUUCAGCAAACCCUGACUUACGUCUCCUAUUUGACUUGAGGCGGCACAGUGGCCAAGUCGAUUGGCCGUGGCAAGUGACCCUCCCUGUGGCUGAAGUGUUCUGAGGACUGGCGAGAGAGGCGCGCCAUGCUUGCCCCCUGUUCAGGUUUAGAUAUCAAGUCAUCAGGGUCUGGCUGUGUAGAAGUUCAAAGUAUUGAGGGUGAUAAUUGCAAAAUUGAAACAGAGCAUGGGACUAGCAUCUUGCAGUCUGUUAAGGGUCAAAAAUUGCAUGUUCAAACAAAAGGAGGCAAAGUGAUCUGUCUGGGAACAGUUUAUGGAAAUAUAGAUAUUCAUGCAUCAGAUAAAAGUGCUGUGACCAUAGAUAAACUGCAGGGAAGUUCUGUUACUGUAUCUACCGAAGAUGGGUUGCUGAAAGCCAAGUAUCUUUAUACAGAAUCAUCAUUUCUGUCUUCUGCUGCUGGGGAUAUUACAUUAGGAAGUGUUCAUGAGUCUUGCUCUGCUGCCUAGGCUGGAGUGCAGUGGCGUGAUACUGGCUCACUGCACCCUCCACCUUUCACGUUCAGGUGAUUCUCCCACCCCAACCUCCCGAGAAGCUGGGACUACAGGUAAUAUAACAUUACAAAGCGAGAUGGGUAACAUCACAGUAGAUUCGUCUUCUGGAUGUCUAAAAGCCUCAACUAAUCAGGGUGCCAUAGAUGUUUAUGUCAGCCAACUGGGGAAAGUGGAAUUGAAAUCCCAUAAAGGUUCUAUUAUUGUCAAGGUCCCAUCUUCACUUCAAGCUCAUUUACAGUUAUCAGGGAAAGAGGUUGAUGUGAACUCAGAAGUCCAUGUUCAGGAAAUGGCUGAAGCUCGUAAAGAUGAUGUUGUAACAGUGACUGGUAAGGAGGCUGCAUUUUGCUCUGUCAGAUGAAUAGCCAUUCUCCAUACAUAAGUAGAAAUGUGGUACACUUAACGGAAAUUUUAGCUUUUUUAUAUUUUUCCAUUAUUAUGUCCUCAUGUUUGACAUCUUUUUUUCUUCUAGUUGCUUAUCAUUAAUAUGAUGCAGACAUUUUGUUUAAAAAGACCUCAUUAAAUCAUUUAGGAA
rnacentral:lncRNA from 1 species